rnacentral:tRNA from 1 species
GUGAUUGUAGCUUAGUGGUAGAGUGCUCGCCUAAGCAUGUGCGAGGACCUGGGUCCAAUCCCUAGCACCACA